rnacentral:misc_RNA from 1 species
UGGGCAGUCAGUUGCUCGGUGGCCGGAUUUCCCACAUUUGAAGCAUGCCCCUGCAAAGCUCCUAUUCCUGUUUCCGAAGGAAGAUGGACGGCUGGAUCUUCCCCCACUGAUCAACCAAUCACCACUGCUGCCUCCUCUGGAGGGUUUCGACCAGCUAUUGUCAGUUCUGUAACUUCGCCCACCACGCCGCAUCUCAUCAUCGCUGUCUGAACCGCGGCCUCCCCAGCCUCGGGAACUCCUCUGACCCCGGUCCCGGAAGCCACCUCGUGAACUACGGUCCCG